rnacentral:rRNA from 1 species
ACAGUGGGGAAACGACGUGAUAGUUCUCGCAUACGCCAUGGUUGGGAGAAAGCAGGGGGACGCUUCGGGCCCCACGCUGAUGGAUAAGCCCAGGUGGGAUUAGCUAGUAGGUGGGGGUAAUGCUUCACCUAGGCAACGAUCCCUAGCUGGUCUGAGAGGAUGAUCAGCCACACUGGGAUUGAGACACGGCCCAGACUCCUACGGGAGGCAGCAGUGGGGAAUAUUGCCCAAUGGGGGAAAUCCUGAGGCAGCCAUGCGGCGUGUGUGAAGAAGGCCUUCGGGUUGUAAAGCACUUUCAGCGAGGAGGAAAGGGUGUAAGUUAAUACGUCGCAUCUUUGACGUUACUUGCCGAAGAAGCCCCGGCUAACUCCGUGCCAGCAGCCGCGGUAAUACGGAGGGUGCGAGCGUUAACCGGAAUUACUGGGCGUAAAGCGUGCGCAGGCGGUUUGUUAAGUGAGAUGUGAAAGCCCCGGGCUCAACCUGGGAACCGCAUUUGGAACUGGCAAACUAGAGUCAGGAGAGAGAGUA